rnacentral:rRNA from 1 species
UACGUAGGGGGCAAGCGUUGUCCGGAAUCAUUGGGCGUAAAGAGCGCGUAGGCGGCCCGGUAAGUCCGCUGUGAAAGUCAAAGGCUCAACCUUUGAAUGUCAGCGGAUACUGCCGGGCUAGAGUCCGGAAGAGGCGAGUGGAACUCCUGGUGUAGCGGUGGAAUGCGCAGAUAUCGGGAGGAACACCAAUGGCGAAGGCAGCUUGCUGGGACGGUACUGACGCUGAGGCGCGAAAGCGUGGGGAGCAAACAGG